rnacentral:rRNA from 1 species
CCUACGGGUGGCAGCAGUAGGGAAUCUUCCACAAUGGACGAAAGUCUGAUGGAGCAACGCCGCGUGAGUGAAGAAGGGUUUCGGCUCUUAAAGCUCUGUUGGCAGUGAAGAAAGAUAGAGGUAGUAACUGGCCUUUAUUUGACGGUAAUUACAUAGAAAGUCACGGCUAACUACGUGCGAGCAGCCGCGGUAAUACGUAGGUGGCAAGCGUUGUCCGGAUUGAUUGGGCGUAAAGCGAGUGCAGGCGGGUCGAUAAGUCUGAUGUGAAAGCCUUCGGCUCAACCGGAGAAUUGCAUCAGAAACUGUUGAACUUGAGUGCAGAAGAGGAGAGUGGAACGCGAGGUGUAGCGGUGGAAUGCGUAGAUAUAUGGAAGAACACCAGUGGCGAAGGCAGCUCUCUGGUCUGCAACUGACGCUGAGGCUCGAAAGCGUGGGUAGCGAACAGGAUUAGAUACCCUUGUAGUC